rnacentral:rRNA from 1 species
UACCAGCACCCCGAGUGGUCGGGACGAUUAUUGGGCCUAAAGCAUCCGUAGCCGGUUUUACAAGUCCCCCGUUAAAUCCAGCUGCUUAACAGAUGGGCUGCGGAGGAUACUAUAAGACUAGGAGGCAGGAGAGGCAAACGGUACUCAGUGGGUAGGGGUAAAAUCCGUUGAUCCAUUGAAGACCACCAGUGGCGAAGGCGGCUUGCCAGAAUGCGCUCGACGGUGAGGGAUGAAAGCUGGGGGAGCAAACCGG